GACGAACGCUGGCGGCGUGCCUAAUACAUGCAAGUAGAACGCUGAAGAGAGGAGCUUGCUCUUCUUGGAUGAGUUGCGAACGGGUGAGUAACGCGUAGGUAACCUGCCUUGUAGCGGGGGAUAACUAUUGGAAACGAUAGCUAAUACCGCAUAACAAUGGAUGACACAUGUCAUUUAUUUGAAAGGGGCAAUUGCUCCACUACAAGAUGGACCUGCGUUGUAUUAGCUAGUAGGUGAGGUAACGGCUCACCUAGGCGACGAUACAUAGCCGACCUGAGAGGGUGAUCGGCCACACUGGGACUGAGACACGGCCCAGACUCCUACGGGAGGCAGCAGUAGGGAAUCUUCGGCAAUGGGGGCAACCCUGACCGAGCAACGCCGCGUGAGUGAAGAAGGUUUUCGGAUCGUAAAGCUCUGUUGUAAGUCAAGAACGAGUGUGAGAGUGGAAAGUUCACACUGUGACGGUAGCUUACCAGAAAGGGACGGCUAACUACGUGCCAGCAGCCGCGGUAAUACGUAGGUCCCGAGCGUUGUCCGGAAUUAUUGGGCGUAAAGGGCUUGUAGGCGGUUGGUCGCGUCUGCCGUGAAAUCCUCUGGCUUAACUGGGGGCGUGCGGUGGGUACGGGCUGACUUGAGUGCGGUAGGGGAGACUGGAACUCCUGGUGUAGCGGUGGAAUGCGCAGAUAUCAGGAAGAACACCGGUGGCGAAGGCGGGUCUCUGGGCCGUUACUGACGCUGAGGAGCGAAAGCGUGGGGAGCGAACAGG
rnacentral:rRNA from 1 species